UACGUAGGGGGCAAGCGUUGUCCGGAUUUAUUGGGCGUAAAGAGCGUGUAGGCGGUUUGGUAGGUCCGCUGUGAAAACUCGAGGCUCAACCUCGAGACGCCGGUGGAAACCAUCAGGCUAGAGUCCAGAAGAGGAGAGUGGAAUUCCUGGUGUAGCGGUGAAAUGCGCAGAUAUCAGGAAGAACACCCGUGGCUAAGGCGGCUCUCUAGUACGGUACUGACGCUGAGACGCGAAAGCGUGGGGAGCGAACAGG
rnacentral:rRNA from 1 species